CCAAUAGCGUAUAUUAAAGUUGUUGCAGUUAAAAAGCUCGUAGUUGAAUUUCGGGAUCAAGUCGUCGGUCGUGCUCAGGUACGUACUGGCGUCAUUGAUUUCUCCCUUCUGACGAACCAUGAUGUCAUUAAUUUGGUGUUAUGGGAAAUCAGGACUGUUACUUUGAAAAAAUUAGAGUGUUUAAAGCAGGCUCACGCUUGAAUACAUUAGCAUGGAAUAAUGAAAUAGGACGUUCGAUCCUAUUUUGUUGGUUUUAGGAUCAACGUAAUGAUUAAUAGGGAUAGGUGGGGGCAUUAGUAUUCAAUUGUCAGAGGUGAAAUUCUUGGAUUUAUUGAAGACUAACUACUGCGAAAGCAUUUGCCAAGGAUGUUUUCAUUAAUCAAGAACGAAAGUUAGGGGAUCGAAGACGAUCAGAUACCGUCGUAGUCUUAACCAUAAACUAUGCCGACUAGGGAUCGGAUGAUGUUAAUUUUUUAAUGACUCAUUCGGCGCCUUACG
rnacentral:rRNA from 1 species